UUGUUCAGUUUCUCAAUACUUUGGAAUAAGCUUCAUCGAUCGAUCAUCACUUGACCAUCAUUCAAUGAAUUUCUCAGCACUAACAAAUUUCAAAACAAGUUUCAUCCACCAUCAUUGGGUCAUUACUCAUAGGUGUCUCAGCAUUAACCAUUCCAAAACAGACUUUGUCCACUGAUUGUUCUCAUCAUUCAAUCAUAACUU
rnacentral:lncRNA from 1 species